GGGGAAUAUUGCACAAUGGGCGAAAGCCUGAUGCAGCAACGCCGCGUGAGUGAUGAAGGUCUUCGGAUUGUAAAGCUCUGUCUUUUGGGACGAUAAUGACGGUACCAAAGGAGGAAGCCACGGCUAACUACGUGCCAGCAGCCGCGGUAAUACGUAGGUGGCGAGCGUUGUCCGGAUUUACUGGGCGUAAAGGGUGCGUAGGCGGAUGUUUAAGUGAGAUGUGAAAUACCCGGGCUUAACUUGGGUGCUGCAUU
rnacentral:rRNA from 1 species